GCCUCAAACCCAAGACUCCCCCCUGCCAACUGAACCAGGUCCCACAGGGCCCAUUCUCACCUUGGAGCUCCAAGGCUGUCACAAUGUGAGGAAAAAGGUCAUUAAUCACCAAAAACUGCUGGCAAGAGGAAGUGGUAUUAUCAACAUCCGCCAGAAACGGUCGGGCCUGCCUAUCUCAGGGAGGCAGAGGAUUUGACCAGAGUCACAGAACAAGUUGGCCCUAAGGCCGGAACAAGAGUCCGGAGCCCCUGACCACUAUUAGGAUUAUGCACAGGCCAAGGGCGGUGUGGUGGACCCACCGUGGUGGACGAGGUCAAGGACAUCUGCGGAUCGGUCGGGGCGCCUAAGUUUUCACUCCCGAAACCCACCUCUUCUGAAGCUUAACUGAUCCUUGGCGACAGCAGGAGAAACCACCAUUCCCACAACUGGCAGAAUCACUUUGGAAACUCCCGUUGCCCCCAGGCUGUCUCUCAGUCCACCCGUGUAAAUUCGUACAGCCAUCAUGGAAAACAGUAUGGAGGUUCCUCAAAAAAUUAAAAAUGGAACUACCGUAUGAUCCAGCAAUCUCCCUUUUGGGUAUAUAUACCGAAAGAUUAUGAAGUCAGUAACUGAAAGAGAUAUCUGCACUGGCGGGCACCUUGCAAAAUUAUUCACAAUAACCAAGACGUGGAAAUAACCAAUGUCCUUCCAUGAAUGAAUGGAUAACGAUGUGCUGUGUGUAUAUACAGUGAAAUGUUAUUCAGACCCAAAAAAGGAAAUCCUGCCAGUUGCCACAUGGAUGAGCUUGGAGGACAUUAUGCUAAGUGAAAUAAGCCAGACAGAAAAACAAAUACUAUUUGGUUUCGCUUAUGUGGAAUCUAAAAAAACCAAAAACAAACAGUUGAACUCCUAAAAACAGAGCAGAAAGGCGGUUGCCAGGGGUUGGGGGGGGGGGGGGAAGGGUACAAACUUUUAGUUAUAAGAUGCCUAAGUUUGGGGCGCCUGGGUGGCUCAGUCAGUCAGACUUUGUCUCAGGUCAUGACCUUGCUGUCCCUGAGUUCGAGACCCGCGUGGGGCUCUGUGCUGACAGCUCAGAGCCUGGAGCCUGUUUCAGAUUCUGUGUCUCCCUCUCUCUCUGCCCCUCCCCUGCUCAUGCUCUGUGUCUCUGUCAAAAAUAAACAUUAAAAAAAUUUUUUUAAAGUAAGAUGCUUAUGUUCUGGAGAUCUAAUGUAUAGCAUGGUGACUCUAGUUAGUAAUACUGUACUGUAUACUUGAAAUUUGUUGAGAGUAGAUCUCAUGUUCUCACCACACACAAAAAAUGGUAACUGUGAUAUAACAGAUGUGUUAAUUAACUUGAAUGUGGUAAUCAUUUCAUAAGGUAUACAUAUAUUAAAUCAUCACGCUUGUACACCUUAAAAAAUCACAUGCAACCUAAAUAUAUACAACUUGUCAAUAAGAUUGGAAUAUCUCAAUAAAAUUGGAAAAAAAUUCUCA